AUGAGCUUGAUUUGAGCAAAGAAAGAGCAUAGCUUUUUGUACUUUUAAUGGCGGUUUCAUCCUUGCGCUGCAUUCAAUCUCUUGGGUUUUCAUCAAGAGGACGUGCCUUCUUCCCUGUUGGUGAUUGCAGCCGAGCCAAUGCCUGGAAGAGCAUGAACUGUCGUUUGGUUUUUGCUUCUGCGAAGAAUUCUGAUAGAGAUCUGUGUGUCGAAUCCAAGGUUGAGACAUUGUUAGACAG
rnacentral:misc_RNA from 1 species